rnacentral:lncRNA from 1 species
AUGUGGUGUGUGAGGUGUGUGUGCUGGAUACGGUGUGUGUGGUGGGUGUGUGUGUGGAUAUGGUGUGUGUGGUGUGUGUGCUGGGUGUGGUGUGUGUGCUGGAUAUGGUGUGUGUGUUGGGUGUGUGUGUGGAUAUGGUGUGUGUGUGGUGUGCUGUAUGUGGUGUGUGGUGGAUAUGGUGUGUGUGUUGGGUGUGGGUGGUGUGUGUGGUGUACGUGGUGGAUAUGGUGUGUGUGGUGUGUGUGGUGUGCGUGGUGGAUAUGGUGUGUGUGGUGUGUGGUGGAUAUGGUGUGUGUGCUGUAUGUGCUGUAUGUGGUGUGUGUGGUGGAUAUGGUGUGUGUGGUGUGUGUGGUGUGCGUGGUGUGUGUGGUGUGUGUGGUGGUUAUGGUGUGUGUGGUGGAUAUGGUGUGUGUAAUGGAUAUGGUGUGUGUGGUGUGUGUGCUGUAUGUGGUGUGCGUGGUGGAUAUGGUGUGUGUGAUGUAUGUGGUGUAUGUGGUGUGUGUGCUGUAUGUGGUGUGUGUGGAUAUGGUGUGUGUGGUGUGUGGUGGAUAUGGUGUGUGUGCUGGAUGUGGUGUGUGUGGUGUGUGUGCUGUAUGUGGUGUGUGGUGGAUGUGGUGUGUGUGGUGUGUGGUGUGUGGUGGAUGUGGUGUGUGUGGUGUGUGUGCUGUAUGUGGUGUGUGGUGGAUGUGGUGUGUGUGGUGUGUGGUGUGUGGUGGAUGUGGUGUGUGUGGUGUGUGUGCUGUAUGUGGUGUGUGGUGGAUGUGGUGUGUGUGGUGGAUGUGGUGUGUGUGGUGUGUGGUGGGUGUGGUGUGUGUGCUGUAUGUGGUGUGUGGUGGAUGUGGUGUGUGUGCUGUAUGUGGUGUGUGGUGUGUGUGGUGUGUGUGCUGUAUGUGGUGUGUGGUGUGUGUGGUGUGUGUGCUGUGUGUGCUGUAUGUGGUGUGUGGUGGAUGUGGUGGAUAUGGGUUGUGUGUGGUGUGUGUGGUGUGUGGUGGAUGUGGUGUGUGUGCUGUAUGUGGUGUGUGGUGUGUGUGGUGUGUGUGGUGUGUGUGGUGUGUGGCAUCUGCUGCUCUGAUGUUGGCAGGAAAUGGCAAAACUAUUAUUAUAUAUAUAUGUAUUAUAAAACUAUGUGUUAUAGAAUUGUCAUACUGUAGUUUUGUUUCCUGA